CGGCGCGAGUUUGAUCGGGGCGCGCGGCAGCGUUCUCUUUGCUUCCCCCGGACUCGGCCGGCCCGCCCCCACCGGCUCCCGCCAACCUGCGGGGGCCUGAGCCCGCGGGAAUCAGGAUCCGCCCUUCGGAUGGGGGCUGCGUUCGGAAAAGGGAGGGCACACCCAGUUUUGAACUCUGGAAGGGGUGGAGAAAAGAGGGAAAAAGAACGCUUCCGAGGCCAAUUUUAGGCCCCAGACCUCUCUAAUCCAUUUUAGAGGCCUGGUUUUGGGGCCAGGUAGCUGAGAGAGGGGUUGGGGUGAGGCGCAGGGCGUGCAUUCUUGGCGCCUCGUGAUCUUCUCAGGGUGUCGGAAAAGAUAUCGAAAUACUUCUUGGGAAAGUCUCCUUAAAAUUUCAACUCUGUCUCUCCAGGCUGGAAUUUGGCUGCUUCAACAAGCAACCUUUCCUGAAAACCAAAACAUUGUAAUCCCAAGUGAUUGGUUUGACAGCGCAUGUUUUGGCUGGCUGAGCUUGCAUGCCAACUGCGUCCCACCUGGUGCCCUUGAUCUGCAACACUCAGAUUUUCCUUUUACCCUAGCUGCACUUCACGUACUAAAUCAUCAUCAAAUAGUAUUUUCUGUGAAAGUCACAUGCACGUUGCCUUUCACGUGGUUGCCUCUCGUUUGUUCCCAAGCGUCCUCCAAAUCAGCUUUACAGAUUGUUCUUUGCUUAAGAGCAAAUAGCCCACCAAAAUUUACUAGGCCCUUUGUGCCACCAAGAGGUAGAUAAAUGAUUUAUUGAAUUAAUAACAAUUUUCUUUAGCAAAUGUUCAUCCACGAUGGACUAUGGCUAACCUCAAAGCACCACUUAUUCUAACUCCCCCUCCAAUAAAGAAAAACGCAACAACUCAAUGUUUAGAUGUACCAGAAUUAUUUUGGAUGAUUUUCAGACCUAAGUUUUUAUUCAUUACAUAAAUGAAUAAUAUCAAGC
rnacentral:lncRNA from 1 species